UACAGAGGUCUCAAGCGUUGUUCGGAUUCACUGGGCGUAAAGGGCUCGUAGGCGGCCAACUAAGUCAUACGUGAAAUCCCUCAGCUUAACUGGGGAACUGCGUGUGAUACUGGAUGGCUUGGAUUUGGGAGAGGGAUGCGGAAUUCCAGGUGUAGCGGUGAAAUGCGUAGAUAUCUGGAGGAACACCGGUGGCGAAGGCGGCCAGCUGGGCCGGGUCCGACGCUGAGUCGCGAAAGCGUGGGGAGCAAACAGG
rnacentral:rRNA from 1 species